rnacentral:rRNA from 1 species
UACGUAGGGUGCAAGCGUUGUCCGGAAUUAUUGGGCGUAAAGAGCUCGUAGGCGGUUUGUUGCGUCGGCUGUGAAAACCUGCAGCUUAACUGUGGGCUUGCGGUCGAUACGGGCAUCACUGGAGUUCGGCAGGGGAGACUGGAAUUCCUGGUGUAGCGGUGAAAAUGCGCAGAUAUCAGGAGGAACACCGGUGGCGAAGGCGGGUCUCUGGGCCGAUACUGACGCUGAGGAGCGAAAAGCGUGGGGGAGCGAACAGG